UUCCUUUUUCGUAGGUGAAAUGUCCCACCAUGAUGUUCUGGAUGCUGCUUCCAAAGGGAUAAAUGUCAUCCUUUGUGAACACAGCAACACCGAAAGAGGCUUCCUUUCUGAUCUUCAAGAAAUGCUGGGUGUUCACUUGGAGAAUAAGAUUAAUAUUAUCCUGUCUGAGACAGACAGGGACCCUCUCCGUGUCGUUUAGAAGGCAAGGACAUUAUGACAGAAGCCUGGACUGAACAGGACUGUGCAGGAGUUGGUACACCACCCUUCUGCAGAACUGUAAUGAACUUCUCAUUUCAGUUUGCUAAUCUGGCUCAACAAAUGUCAUAGCUCAGACGGUAAAACUGUAAAGAGUACAUUAAAGACAAAUCUUGGGGCUGGA
rnacentral:lncRNA from 1 species